GGUUAAGCGACUAAGCGUACACGGUGGAUGCCCUGGCAGUCAGAGGCGAUGAAGGACGUGCUAAUCUGCGAUAAGCGUCGGUAAGGUGAUAUGAACCGUUAUAACCGGCGAUUUCCGAAUGGGGAAACCCAGUGUGUUUCGACACACUAUCAUUAACUGAAUCCAUAGGUUAAUGAGGCGAACCGGGGGAACUGAAACAUCUAAGUACCCCGAGGAAAAGAAAUCAACCGAGAUUCCCCCAGUAGCGGCGAGCGAACGGGGAGCAGCCCAGAGCCUGAAUCAGUGUGUGUGUUAGUGGAAGCGUCUGGAAAGGCGCGCGAUACAGGGUGACAGCCCCGUACACAAAAAUGCACAUGCUGUGAGCUCGA
rnacentral:rRNA from 1 species